rnacentral:lncRNA from 1 species
UAAUUCUGUCAGGGACCAUAUCAGCUACAUGACUGUAUUGUUUCAUAAAGGCUUGUGCUAAAUCCCUCCAAGAACUAAUCUGGAUACGCGUCAAUUGAUUGUACCACUUAGACGCUGCCCCUGUGAGGCUAUCUUGAAAGCAGUGUAUGAGCAGUUGGUCGUUGUUGACGUAUCCAGCCAUACGCCUACAGAACAUAGUAAUAUGAGCUUCUGGGCAGCUGGUCCCAUUAUAUUUCUCGAAUUCCGGCAUCUUAAAUUUGUAAGG